GCGUGGGUAGUGCAGCGGUUCGAGCACGCACACGCAGGUUAACCAUGGGUUCGAGUUCCAUCUGACGCA